rnacentral:rRNA from 1 species
CGGCGAGUGAAGCGGCAACAGCUCAAAUUUGAAAGCUGGCACCUUCGGUGUCCGCGUUGUAAUUUGUAGAGGAUGCUUCGGCGAGGACUCCUGCCUAAGUUCCCUGGAAUGGGACGUCACAGAGGGUGAGAAUCCCGUAUGUGGCGGGCGGUCCAAGCCAUGUGAAGCUCCUUCGACGAGUCGAGUUGUUUGGGAAUGCAGCUCUAAAUGGGAGGUAAAUUUCUUCUAAAGCUAAAUACCGGCCAGAGACCGAUAGCGCACAAGUAGAGUGAUCGAAAGAUGAAAAGCACUUUGGAAAGAGAGUUAAAAAGUACGUGAAAUUGUUGAAAGGGAAGCGCUUGCAACCAGACUCGCUCGCAGUUGCUCAGCCCGCCUCUUGGUGGGUGUACUCUUCUGCGAUCGGGCCAGCAUCAGUUCGGGCGGCUGGAUAAAGGCGUCGGGAAUGUAGCACCCUUCGGGGUGUGUUAUAGCCCGGCGCGGAAUGCAGCCAGCCUGGACUGAGGAUCUCGCUUCGGCAAGGAUGCUGGCGUAAUGGUUGUAAGCGGCCCGUCUUGAAACACGGACCAAGGAGUCUAACAUCUAUGCGAGUGUUUGGGUGUCAAACCCAUGCGCGUAAUGAAAGUGAACGGAGGUGGGAACCCGCAAGGGUGCACCAUCGACCGAUCCUGAUGUCUUCGGAUGGAUUUGAGUAAGAGCAUAGCUGUUGGGACCCGAAAGAUGGUGAACUAUGCCUGAAUAGGGUGAAGCCAGAGGAAACUCUG